rnacentral:rRNA from 1 species
AGGCCCUUUCGGGGGUACUUCAGUGGCGGACGGCUGAGUAAUGCAUAGGUAACGUGCCUCUUACUGGGGGAUAACACCGGGAAACUGGUGCUAAUACCGCAUAAGUGGUGAGCUGAAAUGCUUGCCAUUAAAGAUUUUUCGGUAAAGGAUCGGCCUGUGUCGGAUUAGCUUGUUGGUGGGGUAAUGGCCUACCAAGGCGACGAUCCGUAGUUGGUCUGAGAGGAUGACCAGCCAGAGUGGGACUGAGACACGGCCCACACUCCUACGGGAGGCAGCAGUAGGGAAUAUUGCGCAAUGGGCGAAAGCCUGACGCAGCAACACCGCGUGUAGGAUGAAGGUUUUCGGAUCGUAAACUACUGUCGGCAGGGAAUAUAAUGACUGUACCUGCAAAGGAAGCAUCGGCUAACUACGUGCCAGCAGCCGCGGUAAUACGUAGGAUGCAAGCGUUGUCCGGAAUUAUUGGGCGUAAAGAGUUCGUAGGUGGUUAUCUAAGUCUGGUGUUAAAGCCCGGAGCUCAACUCCGGCAUGGCAUUGGAAACUGGAUGGCUAGAGUGUGGAAGAGGUAACUGGAAUUCCUGGUGUAGCGGUGAAAUGCGCAGAUAUCANGAGGAACACCCGUGGCGAAAGCGAGUUACUGGUCCAUUACUGACACUGAGGAACGAAAGCCAGGGUAGCAAAAGGGAUUAGAUACCCCUGU